CACCCAAAAUGAAUGAUGAAUAAAUGGAAAGAAUCAAUCCGAUAUGGAUUGAACAGAAACAUCAAUUGUGUGGGUUGUUGUUGUUCGUCUUCUUGUUCUUCUUUAUUUGCUCUAUUUCUUUUCUCCAACUUUUGCC
rnacentral:ribozyme from 14 species